rnacentral:rRNA from 1 species
AUUGAACGCUGGCGGCAGGCUUAACACAUGCAAGUCGAGCGGGGGAAGGUAGCUUGCUACCGGACCUAGCGGCGGACGGGGGAGUAAUGCUUAGGAAUCUGCUUAUUAGUGGGGGACAACAUCUCGAACGUGAUGCUACUACCGCAUACGUCCUACGAGAGAAAGCAGGGGAUCUUCGGACCGUGCGCUAAUAGAUGAGCCUACGGGGGUUUAGCGAGUUGGUGGGGUAAAGGCCUCCCAAGGCGAAGAUCUGUAGCGGGUCUGGGAGGAUGAUCCGCCACACUGGGACUGGGACACGGCCCAGGCUCCGACGGGAGGCAGCAGUGGGGAAUAUUGGACAAUGGGGGGAACCCUGAUCCAGCCAUGCCGCGUGUGUGAAGAAGGCCUUAUGGUUGUAAAGUACUUUAAGCGAGGAGGAGGCUACUCUAGUUAAUACCUAGGGAUAGUGGACGUUACUCGCAGAAUAAGCACCGGCUAACUCUGUGCCAGCAGCCGCCGUAACAC